rnacentral:rRNA from 1 species
UACGUAGGGGGCAAGCGUUGUCCGGAAUCAUUGGGCGUAAAGCGCGUGUAGGCGGCCUUGUAAGUCCGUUCUGAAAGUCCGGGGCUCAACCUCGGGAGGCGGAUGGAUACUGCAAGGCUCGAGUACGGAAGAGGCGAGUGGAAUUCCCGGUGUAGCGGUGAAAUGCGCAGAUAUCGGGAGGAACACCAAUGGCGAAGGCAGCUCGCUGGGACGUUACUGACGCUGAGACGCGAAAGCGUGGGGAGCAAACAGG